rnacentral:misc_RNA from 1 species
GAUGAAGAACGCAGCGAAAUGCGAUAAGUAAUGCGAAUUGCAGAAUCCGUGAGUCAUCGAAUCUUUGAACGCACAUUGCGCCCGCCAGUAUUCUGGCGGGCAUGCCUGUUCGAGCGUCAUUACAACCCUCAGGCCCCCGGGCCUGGCGUUGGGGAUCGGCGGAGCCCCCCGUGGGCACACGCCGUCCCCCAAAUACAGUGGCGGUCCCGCCGCAGCUUCCAUCGCGUAGUAGCUAACACCUCGCGACUGGAGAGCGGCGCGGCCACGCCGUAAAACACCCAACUCUUCUGAAGUUGACCUCGAAGCAGGUAGGAAUACCCGCUGAACUUAAGCAUAUCAAUAAGCGGAGGA